UAGGGAAUCUUCCGCAAUGGACGCAAUUCUGACGGAGCAACGCCGCGUGAGUGAAGAAGGAUUUCGGUUCGUAAAACUCUGUUGUUAGAGAAGAACAGCGCAUAGAGUAACUGUUAUGCGUGUGACGGUAUCUAACCAGAAAGCCACGGCUAACUACGUGCCAGCAGCCGCGGUAAUACGUAGGUGGCAAGCGUUGUCCGGAUUUAUUGGGCGUAAAGCGAGCGCAGGCGGUCAAUUAAGUCUGAUGUGAAAGCCCCCGGCUCAACCGGGGAGGGUCAUUGGAAACUGGUUGACUUGAGUGCAGAAGAGGAGAGUGGAAUUCCAUGUGUAGCGGUGAAAUGCGUAGGUAUAUGGAGGAACACCAGUGGCGAAGGCGACUCUCUGGUCUGUAACUGACGCUGAGGCUAGAAAGCGUGGGUAGCAAACAGG
rnacentral:rRNA from 1 species